GCCCGGAUGGUGGAAUUGGUAGACACAAGGGACUUAAAAUCCCUCGGUGGAAACACUGUGCCGGUUCGACCCCGGCUCCGGGCACCA
rnacentral:tRNA from 1 species